rnacentral:rRNA from 1 species
CAGUAGCCACGGUAAAACGUAGGUCCCGAGCGUUGUCCGGAUUUAUUGGGCGUAAAGCGAGCGCAGGCGGUUAGAUAAGUCUGAAGUUAAAGGCUGUGGCUUAACCAUAGUACGCUUUGGAAACUGUUUAACUUGAGUGCAGAAGGGGAGAGUGGAAUUCCAUGUGUAGCGGUGAAAUGCGUAGAUAUAUGGAGGAACACCGGUGGCGAAAGCGGCUCUCUGGUCUGUAACUGACGCUGAGGCUCGAAAGCGUGGGGAGCAAACAGGAUUAGAUACCCCCGUAGUCCCUGUCUCUUAUACA